rnacentral:tRNA from 1 species
CGGGCGGUAGCUCAGGAUGGUAGAGCGCAUGCUUUGGGAGCAUGAGGCCGCUGGUUCGACCCCAGUCCGCCCGA